GCAGGCCGCACGCGCUAAUCGCCGCGCGCUGAGGUCCCGGCGUCCCGCGCCGCGUCCACCGUGCUGGGAACCCGCUUGCCCCUCCACGUGCGGUCGUGCCGAUCGUCUCCAUAUUCGCUGCUUCCUCGGCGGCCAUGCUCCACUCCUCCACCCCGUCCCCAAGCCAAAGGCACCGGCGUCCCUCGGCUCCUGCCUCCGGCCUGUCUACCGCUACCUGUCGCCCGCGGAGAACCCCAGGUCCGCGUCACCGCCGCGUAAGAUGCACACGAUGAAAAAAAGGCCAGGGAGGACACCAGUGACACACACGCUGCAUCCUCGCGCGCCCCUGUGCGGCUUCCCGUGCCACAGAGCGUGCCGGUAAGCGCGCCCUUGCAGAUGGACUGGACGACGCCCAACAGCGGCUCGAGGAAAUGCCAGCAAGGUAAGGUGCUCUCUGAAUAGUUAUCGUCUCUACUUUCUAGGAGUUGGAGCUGAACAGCACUUACGGAGCUAAUAAUUUUGUGUGAAACACAGAAUGUUAUUUUUGAUUCAAGGGAGCAUGAUGCAAGCUUGCUGAGGGUCAUUGCUUCUGAAUACGAAGUUUUACAUUCAUAAUAUUGAUUGACUGUUGCUCAAGCAAAUGAUUGUGUUCCUGUUACCUGGAUGUCCUUUCGUGGCUAUAUUCUAUACAAUUUAUUAAUCAACUUAACUCAUUGAAUGCAUAGUUGUAUAUACAAUACAACCAACCGUACUUUUCUUUGAAGGUCGUAAACUUAUUUUGGUGUUGCAGAUUAUCUGAAACAUAUGGGAUUGUCCAUGUGAAUUAAGUGUUAUAAUGUUUUCACAAAGGCAUUCCACGAGUUGCAAUAUUACUGGCUCCAAAAUUCGACUUCAGAAUUCUUGCUUACCAUUUACUCUCUCCAUCCCAAAUAAUAUUUGUUUUAGCUCUUGAUUUAUAUGUCUAUAUUCAACUAGAUGAUAAUGAAUGUAGACACAUAUAUAGAACACAUACACCAAGUAUUGUAUGAACUCAUUAAAAGGUUAAAACGAAUUUUAUUUUGGAAUAGAGGGAGUAUUUAUUCAAAAUCACCAGUCUUCAUCCGACGACGACAAAAUACCUAAGGCUGUCUCCAGCAGUUAUCCUAUUCCAUCCCCUAUCUUAUCCCCUAUUUUAAAUUUUACUCUGCAAACAAUAUAAUCUACAGUACAAAUCCCUUAUUUUACACGAUCUGGUGCAGACAGCCUAAGAGGCUCCACAAUGUACGUAAUGGGAGGCAAGCUCAGGAACCAGGAAGCUGGAUGGUACUUGUCCAGUCUCCUUCCUCUCCUAUGCCUGCCUUGGCCUCCCCCGCUCCUAGCUGUUUGAACAAAUAAAUGUCCAUGUGCUAACUACUGCAGACUUUUUUGUAGGCUAACAACUUCUGUUGGUAAGUUUAUGAUAUCUCAAUAUUUUUGUUCCGAAAAUCGCAUCUAAAAUGAAGGAAUCUUAUUUUAUUGCACAAUUCCUAAUUUCUCUAAAUUAUAGAUGCUAUGAAGUUUUAGCUAAUCCAUAAGAGAUACAUUCGGCUACUCCUACAUCUGAUAUAUUGACAUUGUUACAAGUUCUACAAGAAGGGAACAGCUUGGUGAUUAAGCACUUUCUUCUAGAACUUCACACAACAUGUGCGGAUGUGCUAAUAGCUUGGCCGUUUGUCAUAAUUAAGACCUCAUUGGUACUGUCCAUUGAUUGAUUCCUUAUUUUUAGCUUACCAUAACCAGAUGCUAAUGCAAAUUUCACUAACACUUCGUGUUUUUUCUUCUAAUCUUGUAUAGUGCGAAAAUCAGAUUGCUUUUUUUUGUGAUACUUCCCAUCACUACAUUGUUAUUUUGUGCACGUAUUGGAAGCAAUUCUAGGCUAUGACCCUUGAGAUGUAGAGUCAGAUCUCAUGGCUUAACAAUAUAUACCAGAUGAUCAUCACAACCAGUUCUUGACCUUAGACAGAAUAAGGCACAAUGGUGUGAAUUCUCAGUAAGGAUUUCUUUUAUUUUUUCUCUCGUUCUAUCCAAAAAAGGUGUCCGGUGACAAUUUGAGAUUAUCGUCUACUUUGCCACAAAAUCUUAAUGCUGUUGUCUUUUUUUACCUAGGCAGCUGAAGCCGUCACUGAUGUGUUGACCUUGUCUUGUGAAUAUUUUUAUAGUAGUAAUGUAGGUUUUUCCUGAGAUGGACUAGAAUAUACUAUUCUUUGGCUUGAGCUGCCUGCUUACCAUGAUGUCUCUUUCCAGAGUUCUUAAGAUCAACCCAUUUUUGUUUUUGAAUUUUCACAUUCACAUUCCACUUCUACUAUAAGACAAUAACACUUUGCUGCAGGUGAAGCUACAACCACAAGAAUUAGCACUGUAACUUUUCGUCCACUCUGAGCAGUGUGUUCAUAUGUAACACAAUAGUCUACAUUUAUUUGAAGUUUUUUCUCAAGAACAAGCAGGUGAGCUGCAUAUAUUUGUACUAAGCAUAUUGGAAACAUUGUAGUUGUAUGUUUAAAUUUCAAAAAAAAGUUGUUUGCUCAGUUCUCCCUUUGGUCUAUUAAAUUCAAUAGCUAAACGUUAUUCUUCUUUUGUGUUGCUUUAAGAGGACAGUAGGCAAAUUUCUAUAAUAUAAGCAAGGACUAACUGUAAUUAUCAUCAGGUGCAUGGUUGAGAUUUCCAUGCGUCACUCUCCCUAUUCUAUAUUAUAGAUUUAGAGCGAUGCAUGCAUGAUUAGUUGUAUGCUGUGCAAUCCAUUUACUUUUGGCACUUUUCUGCUUAUCAGUCGUCAACCAUUACAGAUACGACUUUAAAAAUUAAUGACAAGAACAAAUUGACCAAUAGAAAAUACUGUACAUCUGUACCUACACUCCUACAGGUUCUCCGAUGGGAGAGCCCAAGCUGGUGCGGCAACGCCGUGCCUAUGGUUUCUAGUACAUUACUCUCUCCGUCUCAAAUUAAAAUUCAUUACUCUUGUAGUAGAUUCAUACAAUAAUUAAUAUAUGUGUUCUAUAUAUGUGUCUAGAUUCGUUAUCAUCCAUAUGAAUAUAAAAAUAAAAAUCUAGAGCUAAAACGACUACUAUUUUGAAACGAAACAGAUGGAGUACUAUUUACAUGUAGUGCCCAUCUUAGUUUAGGCUGAGUUCAAACAGGUUGGAGCAAUUUAGCCCAUAGCAUUACUAGUUGAUAUGUCUUCCUUAGUAAUUUUAGCUCUGCUAGUUCAAAUAGGUGCGCAGCGCAGGGAGUAAGUAGCUACCGGUGAAGGUCACAACACUGCUCUGCUAGUUCAAAUAGGUGCGCAGGGAGUAG
rnacentral:lncRNA from 1 species